rnacentral:rRNA from 1 species
GACAGAGGGUGCAAACGUUGCUCGGAAUCACUGGGCGUAAAGGGCGUGUAGGCGGGAAGGAAAGUCAGAUGUGAAAGCCCUGGGCUCAACCCAGGAACUGCAUUUGAAACUCCCUUUCUUGAGUGUCGGAGAGGAAAGCGGAAUUCCUGGUGUAGAGGUGAAAUUCGUAGAUAUCAGGAGGAACACCGGUGGCGAAGGCGGCCUGCUGGGCAGUAGCUGACGCUGAGGCGCGACAGCGUGGGGAGCAAACAGG